rnacentral:rRNA from 1 species
GAUGAACGCUGGCGGCGUGCCUAAUACAUGCAAGUCGAGCGAACAGAUGAGGAGCUUGCUCCUCUGACGUUAGCGGCGGACGGGUGAGUAACACGUGGAUAACCUACCUAUAAGACUGGGAUAACUUCGGGAAACCGGAGCUAAUACCGGAUAAUAUAUUGAACCGCAUGGUUCAAUAGUGAAAGACGGUUUUGCUGUCACUUAUAGAUGGAUCCGCGCCGCAUUAGCUAGUUGGUAAGGUAACGGCUUACCAAGGCAACGAUGCGUAGCCGACCUGAGAGGGUGAUCGGCCACACUGGAACUGAGACACGGUCCAGACUCCUACGGGAGGACGCAGUAGGGAAUCUUCCGCAAUGGGCGAAAGCCUGACGGAGCAACGCCGCGUGAGUGAUGAAGGUCUUCGGAUCGUAAAACUCUGUUAUUAGGGAAGAACAAAUGUGUAAGUAACUAUGCACGUCUUGACGGUACCUAAUCAGAAAGCCACGGCUAACUACGUG